rnacentral:lncRNA from 1 species
GUGAAUACCCAACUAGCCUGCAAGAUUUCAGCAGGUUUAGAGCCAGCAGAGCACUUGACGGAAGUUGUUGAAAGUAGUGAUUGUUCCUGGGGCAUUUUGUUUCCAUUAGAAAGGAGGGUUAGCAAAUCCCAUGCAGAUCCUGAGGGAUACAAUCCCUCAUCUCCAGAAGAAAAUCUGGAAGGCAAGGUUACCCGAGAAUGAUGAAGACUAUCAAAAGAGAGAGACAUAAUGGUGAUCCCCUCAUUAAACAUGGAAGAAUGAGUUAGGCUCAUGAAGCUUCAGGUAUCAUGAUGGGAUUGGAAG